rnacentral:rRNA from 1 species
UGGGGAAUAUUGCACAAUGGGCGCAAGCCUGAUGCAGCCAUGCCGCGUGUAUGAAGAAGGCCUUCGGGUUGUAAAGUACUUUCAGCGGGGAGGAAGGUGUUGAGGCUAAUAACCUCAGCAAUUGACGUUACCCGCAGAAGAAGCACCGGCUAACUCCGUGCCAGCAGCCGCGGUAAUACGGAGGGUGCAAGCGUUAAUCGGAAUUACUGGGCGUAAAGCGCACGCAGGCGGUCUGUCAAGUCGGAUGUGAAAUCCCCGGGCUCAACCUGGGAACUGCAUUCGAAACUGGCAGGCUAGAGUCUUGUAGAGGGGGGUAGAAUUCCAGGUGUAGCGGUGAAAUGCGUAGAGAUCUGGAGGAAUACCGGUGGCGAAGGCGG